rnacentral:tRNA from 2 species
UGCGGGGUCGGCUAAGGGGAGGCCGGGACGCUUUGAACGUCCAGGUACAGGUUCGAGUCCUGUCCCCGCAGCCA